AAAAAAGGUUAUAUGGUGAAUGAGUUAUUAUUGACGUUCAUCAGGCUGGUUUUCGCUUUCGCUUUCGAGUUUUGAUUAAAGAUAAUUAAAAUCAAUAACUAUAUAAUAAGUGAUUUGUUAACGGCUACAUCAACAAUGGCACCUCAUGCUAAAGUAGCUGUUGAGGAUGUCGUAGCAGUUAUUAAAAAGCAUAUCGACCAUUUUACAGAGAGAAGUAAUUUCCCAAUUUCUUCGCAUAUAAUAUGGAAAACCAUGAACAAGGACUACUAUCAGAAUAAUAAUAAAAAAAUCUCCAUCAUUCAUUGAAACAAUUACAUAAUUGUGGAAAGUGAUUUGUAUCGCAUUAUUAAUUGAAUGAAAAAUAAAAAGUAAAAAUUUCCAUCAAUUAUUGGCACAAA